rnacentral:piRNA from 1 species
UACACUGAGCAGUGGACUCCGUGAUUCUAGU